rnacentral:rRNA from 1 species
GGGGGGGGGGGGGGGGGGGGCUGGUGGGGGGGGGGGGGGGGAGCGGGUGGGGAGCGUGCGCGUGUGCGGGUCGCGGCGGACGGGUGGGUAACACGUGGGUCACGGGCCUAUAGGCCUGGGGGGACUUCGGGACAACGGAGGUAGUAGUGGAUCAUGUAUUGAGCCGCAUGGUUCACUAUUGAACGAAUUUAUUUCUUUCGCUAUUAUAUGGAUCCUCGCCGCAUUAGCUGUUUUGUAAGGUCACUGCUUACCAAGGCAACGAUGCGAAGCCGACCUGAGAGGGUGAGCGGCCACACUGGAACUUAGACACGGUCCAGACUCCUACGGGAGGCAGCAGUAGGGAAUCUUCCGCAAUGGGCGAAAGCCUGACGGAGCAACGCCGCGUGAGUGAUGAAGGUCUUCGGAUCGUAAAACUCUGGUAUUAGGGAAGAACAAAUGUGUAAGUAACUAUGCACGUCUUGACGGUACCUAAUCAGAAAGCCACGGCUAACUACGUG